rnacentral:sRNA from 1 species
AUAUAUCUUAUUAUAUAAAGUAUGGUUUUUAAAAUUACUAACUCAUAAGAUUAUGCCAUGUGUCAAGUCUAUCGAUCAGAUGUUGACACGUGUAAGAAAAUAAUUAACUUUUUUCUUCUUAAAGAAAUAGAAAUACUAAAAAAGAAAUCAAUUAACUUUUUUCUUCUUAAAGAAAUAGAAAACUAAAAAAUAAAUCAUUAUUAACAUAUACUAAUUUAUAUGUCUAUAU